GGGCCUAANCAUGCAAGNUCGAACGCUUCUUUUUCCACCGGUAGCUUGCUCCACCGGUAAAAAGAGGAGUGGCGAACGGGUGAGUAACACGUGGGUAACCUGCCCAUCAGAAGGGGAUAACACUUGGAAACAGGUGCUAAUACCGUAUAACAAUCGAAACCGCAUGGUUUUGAUUUGAAAGGCGCUUUCGGGUGUCGCUGAUGGAUGGACCCGCGGUGCAUUAGCUAGUUGGUGAGGUAACGGCUCACCAAGGCGACGAUGCAUAGCCGACCUGAGAGGGUGAUCGGCCACAUUGGGACUGAGACACGGCCCAAACUCCUACGGGAGGCAGCAGUAGGGAAUCUUCGGCAAUGGACGAAAGUCUGACCGAGCAACGCCGCGUGAGUGAAGAAGGUUUUCGGAUCGUAAAACUCUGUUGUUAGAGAAGAACAAGGAUGAGAGUAACUGUUCAUCCCUUGACGGUAUCUAACCAGAAAGCCACGGCUAACUACGUGCCAGCAGCCGCGGUAAUACGUAGGUGGCAAGCGUUGUCCGGAUUUAUUGGGCGUAAAGCGAGCGCAGGCGGUUUCUUAAGUCUGAUGUGAAAGCCCCCGGCUCAACCGGGGAGGGUCAUUGGAAACUGGGAGACUUGAGUGCAGAAGAGGAGAGUGGAAUUCCAUGUGUAGCGGUGAAAUGCGUAGAUAUAUGGAGGAACACCAGUGGCGAAGGCGGCUCUCUGGUCUGUAAACUGACGCUGAGGCUCGAAAGCGUGGGGAGCAAACAGGAUUAGAUACCCUGGUAGUCCACGCCGUAAACGAAUGAGUGCUAAGUGUUGGAGGGUUUCCGCCCUUUCAGUGCUGCAGCUAACGCAUUAAAGCACUCCGCCUGGGGAGUACGACCGCAAGGUUGAAACUCAAAGGAAUUGACGGGGGCCCGCACAAGCGGUGGAGCAUGUGGUUUAAUUCGAAGCAACGCGAAGAACCUUACCAGGUCUUGACAUCCUUUGACCACUCUAGAGAUAGAGCUUCCCCUUCGGGGGCAAAGUGACAGGUGGUGCAUGGUUGUCGUCAGCUCGUGUCGUGAGAUGUUGGGUUAAGUCCCGCAACGAGCGCAACCCUUAUUGUUAGUUGCCAUCAUUUAGUUGGGCACUCUAGCAAGACUGCCGGUGACAAACCGGAGGAAGGUGGGGAUGACGUCAAAUCAUCAUGCCCCUUAUGACCUGGGCUACACACGUGCUACAAUGGGAAGUACAACGAGUCGCAAAGUCGCGAGGCUAAGCUAAUCUCUUAAAGCUUCUCUCAGUUCGGAUUGUAGGCUGCAACUCGCCUACAUGAAGCCGGAAUCGCUAGUAAUCGCGGAUCAGCACGCCGCGGUGAAUACGUUCCCGGGCCUUGUACACACCGCCCGUCACACCACGAGAGUUUGUAACACCCGAAGUCGGUGAGGUAACCUUUGGAGCCAGCCGCCUAAGUG
rnacentral:rRNA from 1 species